rnacentral:tRNA from 1 species
ACUUCUAAAGGAUAACAGUGUAUCCAAUGGCCUUAGGAGCUAGAAAUUCUUGGUGCAAAUCCAAGUAGAAGUU